UACCACGGCUGACGAGCUCCACCUGCCCGGGUUUGUUGUUCGGAGUUUGCUCUCCUAGGCAGAUUGCCUACCACGGCUGACGAGCUCCACCUGCCCGGGUUUGUUGUUCGGAGUUUGCUCUCCUAGGUGAAUUGCCUACCACGGCUAACGACCUCCACCUGCCCGGGUUUGUUUAGAGUUUGCUCUCCUAGGUGAAUUGCCUCCCACGGCUGACGAGCUCCACCUGCCCGGGUUUAUUGUUCGGAGUUUGCUCUCCUAGGUGAAUUGCCUACCACGGCUAACGACCUCCACCUGCCCGGGUUUGUUUAGAGUUUGCUCUCCUAGGUGAAUUGCCUCCCACGGCUAACGAGCUCCACCUGCCCGGGUUUGUUUAGAGUUUGCUCUCCUAGGUGAAUUGCCUCCCACGGCUAACGACCUCCACCUGCCCGGGUUUGUUUAGAGUUUGCUCUCCUAGGUGAAUUGCCUACCACGGCUAACGACCUCCACCUGCCCGGGUUUGUUUAGAGUUUGCUCUCCUAGGUGAAUUGCCUACCACGGCUAACGACCUCCACCUGCCCGGGUUUGUUUAGAGUUUGCUCUCCUAGGUGAAUUGCCUACCACGGCUAACGACCUCCACCUGCCCGGGUUUGUUUAGAGUUUGCUCUCCUAGGUGAAUUGCCUUCCACGGCUUACGAGCCUCACCUGCCCGGGUUUGUAUAGAGUUUGCUCUCCUAGGUGAAUUGCCUUCCACGGCUAACGAGCCUCACCUGCCCGGGUUUGUAUAGAGUUUGCUCUCCUAGGUGAAUUGCCUACCACGGCUAACGACCUCCACCUGCCCGGGUUUGUAUAGAGUUUGCUCUCCUAGGCAGAUUGCCUACCACGGCUAACGAGCUCCACCUGCCCGGGUUUGUAGCCGGAAGAUCUCCGGCACCUCCGUCGGGGCCCGGAGGGACGCCGAGGAGCCCUGCCUGGAGCCCUCCAUUCCUGCCAUGCUCGCCAGGGAGACCUUGGGCUCGCUGGCGCUCCACACCCCCGCCGAGGCGAGGAUGCAAGAACUCGCUUCUUAAAACUACCAGACUGGAUUAUAAAAUUAAUCAUAAUUACUGUGAAGGCGCCGGUCACCGCGUUUAUCGGUUCAGGGAUGGAAGACCGACGGGCCUGGGAAACGCGCACAAGCAUCCAAAGGAAUCCUCGCGACGGCUUGCGACGCAGCAUCCGUUUCCCUUUUCUUUCUCAUUCCAAUUUUUCUUUUUUAUUAUAUUUUCCUUCUCUGA